rnacentral:rRNA from 1 species
AGAGAGAGACAUGCGCGCAUAUCAAUAAGCGGAGGAAAAGAAACUAACUAAGGAUUCCCUUAGUAACGGCGAGUGAAGCGGGAAGAGCUCAAAUUUGAAGUCUUCAAGGUUCUACCUUGACGAAUUGUAGUUUAAAGAAGUGUUUUCUGUUGAAGUUUCGGUAAAAGUUCUUUGGAAUAGGACAUCAUAGAGGGUGAGAAUCCCGUAUUUGACCAUUUACUUUCAAGCUUUGUGAUACACUUUCAAAGAGUCGGAUUGUUUGGGAAUGCAGUCCAAAAUGUGUGGUAAAUUUCAUCUAAAGCUAAAUAUUGGCGAGAGACCGAUAGCGAACAAGUACCGUGAGGGAAAGAUGAAGAGAACUUUGAAAAGAGAGUUAAACAGUACGUGAGAUUGUCAAAAGGGAAGCGUUUGACACCAGUGUUGUUUUUCUGAAAAUCAAUUAAAGAACUGUUUAUGCUAAGUUGUUUAGACUUUAUCAGCUAACUGUUUAGUUUUGAGCUUUUCUUUAAUGCACUUUUCAGUUAACAAGUCAACAUCAAUUUCUUUUGCUGUAAAAAAGCUUGAGGAAGGUGGCUUGAGAUUCGUCUUAAGUGUUUAUAGCCUCUUGCCUAUGCAGUCGGAGAGAUUGAGGUCUGCAGCGUAGAUCCUUCGGGGCUAGAUGCAUUUGUGCUAAGUUAUAGCAUUUUAUAGACAACUUGUUGACUAUGAUUUGUCUUGUAGCUUACUCGCUUAUGUUAUUUUACCUACGCUUAGGAUGUUGAGCGCAUGUCUCUCUCU